rnacentral:lncRNA from 1 species
UGUGGUGCCGAUAGAUUCACUACUGAAGCCCCGUUAUCGGACAUUGCAGGCUUAGCAUCGUAUAUCGCUCCACCACACCGAGAAGAGGUAUGUGUACCUCCAGCAAUAACAAGAAUGGAACCAUAGGCUCCUAUGCUGGGAGCAUUUCGGGGUAUAGGUCUAACCACCUCAACUCCCCGUUUCUGGCAUGCUAUAGUUCUUU